rnacentral:rRNA from 1 species
GCAGCAGCCACGGUAAUACAGAGGGUGCGAGCGUUAAUCGGAUUUACUGGGCGUAAAGCGUGCGUAGGCGGCUUUUUAAGUCGGAUGUGAAAUCCCUGAGCUUAACUUAGGAAUUGCAUUCGAUACUGGGAAGCUAGAGUAUGGGAGAGGAUGGUAGAAUUCCAGGUGUAGCGGUGAAAUGCGUAGAGAUCUGGAGGAAUACCGAUGGCGAAGGCAGCCAUCUGGCCUAAUACUGACGCUGAGGUACGAAAGCAUGGGGAGCAAACAGGAUUAGAUACCCCAGUAGUCCCUGUCUCUUAUAC